rnacentral:lncRNA from 1 species
ACAAAUCAAGCCUCUAAUUAAUAGUUGAUCCUUAAACCUUAAAGAUAAAUUUUGGUACAUAAAUUGAAAGGUGGUAUACUUAAAUGUAAUAAAUACUAACCUUAAACAUGAGUGGUUAUAAGAUUUGCAUAUGGGAUGUAUAUUUAAAAAUCCCAAAAUUAUUACCAUCAAAGCCUCUAAGGGAUUUAAGCACUUCUUCUUUACACCCUUGACAACGAAUAUAAACACUCAAUAUGAUAAUAACUCCUUUUGAAUUAUUCUUAUUUUCUUCAUUUGUGCUCUUCUUCUCUUCCAUUUUAUUGCCAUUGUUGCAUUCUUUGUUGUUUUCUUGUUGAUUCAUUU